AUACGUAGGGGGCUAGCGUUAUCCGGAAUUACUGGGCGUAAAGGGUGCGUAGGUGGUUUCUUAAGUCAGAAGUGAAAGGCUACGGCUCAACCGUAGUAAGCUUUUGAAACUAAGAGACUUGAGUGCAGGAGAGGAGAGUAGAAUUCCUAGUGUAGCGGUGAAAUGCGUAGAUAUUAGGAGGAAUACCAGUUGCGAAGGCGGCUCUCUGGACUGUAACUGACACUGAGGCACGAAAGCGUGGGGAGCAAACAGGAUUAGAUACCCUGGUAGUCCACGCCGUAAAUGAUGAGUACUAGCUGUCGGGGGUUACCCCCCUCGGUGGCGCAGCUAACGCAUUAAGUACUCCGCCUGGGAAGUACGCUCGCAAGAGUGAAACUCAAAUGAAUUGACGGGG
rnacentral:rRNA from 1 species